GUCCAACCAAACUUGUUUGGGGAAGGCCUAGUGGCGAACGGGUGCAUAACACGUGAGAAACCUGCCUCAGUCUCUGGGAUAACAGUUGGAAACGACUGCUAAUACCGGAUGCCGUCACACCAUCACAUGUUGGAAUGACGAAAGAUUUAUCGGACUGAGAGGGUCUCGCGGCCUAUCAGCUAGUUGGAGAGGUAACGGCUCACCAAGGCAUCGACGGGUAGCUGGUCUGAGAGGAUGAUCAGCCACACUGGGACUGAGACACGGCCCAGACUCCUACGGGAGGCAGCAGUGGGGAAUCUUGCACAAUGGGCGAAAGCCUGAUGCAGCAACGCCGCGUGCGGGAAGAAGGCCCUAGGG
rnacentral:rRNA from 1 species